rnacentral:lncRNA from 1 species
AAUGAAGAACAAUCUCUUUAUCACAUUCCCUACCGUAGACGCAAGACUCAUCAACAAGAGAAUUGGUUCUUGGUCUCUCUCUUAUCCCUCUAUCAUUCUCGACUAGACUCAAAGCAUCCUUCAUUGCAACAGCCUCUUCCAAUCUAGCAGUAAGACUCUUUAAUCUGAACUCCAUUUUUGUGCUAAACUUAGCAGUGGAAGGAUUCAAACGAAGAAAGCAAGCUGAAAAAUAUCUCCCUACCUUGCAGGAGGGCGAAGCGGCGUCCGGAUCUUCCGUUAUUUGGCGACGCCUAGCCUCUGUGGUGAGCUCGUCGAUGAUAUCCUCAGCGUCGUAAGCAACGUCUCUUAAAUCACUAAGCCACAGCUCCAGUGAGCGGCUCGAGGUUUGCUUUUCUUCAACAUUUUCAAGGGAAGCAUUGAUGAUGCACAGCAGCGUUUGCCAUUUCUUGAGAUACGAUGAAAAUUUAUCUUUGUCAGCAAAUUUCAUAAAAAAGGGUCAAGGAGAUAACCUCCAUCAGCGAACGAGCCACGGCGGCGUCACCCAGAGAAGCGGAUUUACCUUUCAUCACUGAGAAGCGGCCCCGUUUUUGAACUUGCAUCAGUGUCUCUUAACGAAAGUUGAAAGGUUUAAAGGAAAGAAAAGGAAAGCCAAAACGUAUACCGGACUAUUCAUAUCUAUAACACUAGACUUAGUCGCUCGCACGUAAGUAUCUUUUAUUUUUUAUAUCAAAAAGAAUGCAAAUAAAGAAUAUUAGGGAGAGUUUGGAUGAGUAAUUGAAUGCGGUGCGCUGCAUUUAGUUUAAUUUGUUUCAUAUUAGAGUAUUGUUACAGUAUUUAAUUUCACUGCUACCGCUGUUUUUACACUAAUCGUAGGUAAACUCACCACCCAUCCAAACUCACACUUAAUCAACAAUCAUGGAAUGUACCUAUUUUAUCCUCUACUAAUAGUUUUUUAACAAGAAAAUGAGGGAAAUCAAUGAUUCUGAGUUUAAGAUACUUGCUAGUGUAAGUUUUUGUUCCCUUACCAUAUUAUCUUUUCUUCCAACAUAUUAAAAAUUAACAGUUUGAUCUUUUUAAUAAGUGUAGAAGAAGGAAAAAUUCGGAUUCCUCUCCUAUAUCAAUUCAAUAGCUAUUUUUAGCCCACCUGAGUAGUUAAUAUAAGCGUAAAUUUUAUUUAUAGUCAUUCAACUAUUAAUAAAUUUAUAUUUUAGUCACUCAAUCACAAAAACUUAUAAUUUAAUCACUCAACUAUCCGAUUUUGAUAAUUUAAGUCACUCUUCUACCAAAUUGUCAACCAACAUUAGGCGGUUAAGGUACUAUUCCUCAAAUACAAUGUUAGACACCUAAUGAUUAAUAAUUUUUUUUAUUUUGAUCACUCAACCAUAAAUAGUUACUAUUCCUCAUAAUAAUCACUAACAUUAUUGAUUUAUAACUUUUCUUUGACACAUAUCAAUUUUUAAUUGAAUAUCUUUUUUUUUAAUGGACUCAACAGUUCUAACUAUUGAACUAAUAGAUGUACCAACUUAGGAAAAACAAAAAGUUUAGAUACACUUAUAACAAAAAAAAAGUUUAAGUAUUAAAAUGAGAAAAUCCAUAGAGUAGAUACUAAUUUAUGAGUUAAGUUUUUUUUUUAGAUUUAUUUAACGGUUUGACUAAUAAUUUAACCGUAAGAGAUGUCAACUUAGAAAAAAAAAUCAUUUGGAUAGAAAAAAAUUAAGUGGUAAAAUGGGAAAAAUGGUAUGGUUUAGCUGAGUUUUUUUUUUUUUGGUAGAGAAAAGGUUUUAAUCAAAACAUAACAUAAAAAUUACACAACUCAUUAAACUGCUUAAACCAGAACCUAAACUAUCGAGAAUAGAUGCAAUAGAUUUUCCAAUUUCCUUAGGAGCCUGAACAACAAUUUGCAGGCCGAAUUCAUCUGUCACUAGGCUGAAAAGCCCGUCGACAAGGACACUUCUACGCUGCCAUCGACCCCUUCGCCACCAUUGCUAGAGUCAUUCUCUUUUGGUUCAAGAGAUUCAAUAAUAGCUGC